CUCGCUGUGAAGAUGCAGUGUACCCGCGGCAAGACGGAAAGACCCCGUGAACCUUUACUAUAGCUUGACACUGAACAUUGAGCCUUGAUGUGUAGGAUAGGUGGGAGGCUUUGAAGUGUGGACGCCAGUCUGCAUGGAGCCGACCUUGAAAUACCACCCUUUAAUGUUUGAUGUUCUAACGUUGGCCCCUAAUCGGGGUUGCGGACAGUGUCUGGUGGGUAGUUUGACUGGGGCGGUCUCCUCCUAAAGAGUAACGGAGGAGCACGAAGGUUGGCUAAUCCUGGUCGGACAUCAGGAGGUUAGUGCAAUGGCAUAAGCCAGCUUGACUGCGAGCGUGACGGCGCGAGCAGGUGCGAAAGCAGGUCAUAGUGAUCCGGUGGUUCUGAAUGGAAGGGCCAUCGCUCAACGGAUAAAAGGUACUCCGGGGAUAACAGGCUGAUACCGCCCAAGAGUUCAUAUCGACGGCGGUGUUUGGCACCUCGAUGUCGGCUCAUCACAUCCUGGGGCUGAAGUAGGUCCCAAGGGUAUGGCUGUUCGCCAUUUAAAGUGGUACGCGAGCUGGGUUUAGAACGUCGUGAGACAGUUCGGUCCCUAUCUGCCGUGGGCGCUGGAGAACUGAGGGGGGCUGCUCCUAGUACGAGAGGACCGGAGUGGACGCAUCACUGGUGUUCGGGUUGUCAUGCCAAUGGCACUGCCCGGUAGCUAAAUGCGGAAGAGAUAAGUGCUGAAAGCAUCUAAGCACGAAACUUGCCCCGAGAUGAGUUCUCCCUGAGACUUAGAGUCUCCUGAAGGAACGUUGAAGACGACGACGUUGAUAGGCCGGGUGUGUAAGCGCAGCGAUGCGUUGAGCUAACCGGUACUAAUGAACCGUGAGGCUUAACCUU
rnacentral:rRNA from 1 species